GAGUGGAAUAAACGGUUUUCGGAUGCUUAUAAUAGUAUCUGAGGAAGGUCCUUUCUUCCAGGCAAGCGACACAGUGAAAACUGUCAGGAGGAAUCCUGGCUCUGAAAAUAGAAACGAUACGCGGAUACAGUUAAACAAUGAAGCAAGGCGGUUCCCUUUAGAAAAGCUUUGCAGAGGUUUCUGGAUCGGAAGCGUUGAAACGAUUCAUCGUCGUGGAAGCAAGCUCAAAUAGGCUUCAAUGACUUGCCAAGAGAAGCGGGUUGAGUGCGCAGAUUGAUACCGUGAGAGGAGUACAUCUUAGAAUGUUCCUCAAAACUAAAAAAGGCCUAUUUUCCCUC
rnacentral:RNase_P_RNA from 1 species